GCCGACAUAGCUCACAUGGCAGAGCGGCUGAUUCGUAAUCAGCAGAUUGAAGGUUCGAAUCCUUCGGUCGGCUCCA
rnacentral:tRNA from 1 species